rnacentral:rRNA from 1 species
AGCAGCCGCGGUAAUUCCAGCUCCAAUAGCGUAUAUUAAAGUUGUUGCAGUUAAAAAGCUCGUAGUUGAAUUUCGGGGUUCUACCGUCGGUCGGGCUAACAAGUCUGUACUGGUGUGUAGAACUUCUACCUUCUGGGGAACUAUCAUGUUAUUAAUUUAGCGUGGUAGGAAACCAGGACCUUUACCUUGAAAAAAUUAGAGUGUUCAAAGCAGGCUUAAGUCUGAAUACAUUAGCAUGGAAUAAUAGAAUAGGACGGUGGUCCUGUUUUGUUGGUUUCUGAAUCACCGUAAUGAUUAAUAGGGAUAGUUGGGGGCAUUAGUAUUCAAUUGUCAGAGGUGAAAUUCUUGGAUUUAUUGAAGACUAACUUCUGCGAAAGCAUUUGCCAAGGAUGUUUUCAUUAAUCAAGAACGAAAGUUAGGGGAUCGAAGACGAUCAGAUACCGUCGUAGUCUUAACCAUAAACUAUGCCGACUAGGGAUCGGACGAUGUUAAAUUUUAUUGACUCG